ACUUAAAUUGAAGAGUUUGAUCAUGGCUCAGAUUGAACGCUGGCGGCAGGCCUAACACAUGCAAGUCGAGCGGUAGCACAGAGAGCUUGCUCUCGGGUGACGAGCGGCGGACGGGUGAGUAAUGUCUGGGAAACUGCCUGAUGGANGGGGGAUAACUACUGGAAACGGUAGCUAAUACCGCAUAACGUCGCAAGACCAAAGUGGGGGACCUUCGGGCCUCAUGCCAUCAGAUGUGCCCAGAUGGGAUUAGCUAGUAGGUGGGGUAACGGCUCACCUAGGCGACGAUCCCUAGCUGGUCUGAGAGGAUGACCAGCCACACUGGAACUGAGACACGGUCCAGACUCCUNACGGGAGGCAGCAGUGGGGNAAUAUUGCACAAUGGGCGCAAGCCUGAUGCAGCCANUGCCGCGUNGUGUGAAGAAGGCCUUCGGGUUGUAAAGCACUUUCAGCGGGGAGGAAGGCGUUAAGGUUAAUAACCUUGGCGAUUGACGUUACCCGCAGAAGAAGCACCGGCUAACUCCGUGCCAGCAGCCGCGGUAAUACGGAGGGUGCAAGCGUUAAUCGGAAUUACUGGGCGUAAAGCGCACGCAGGCGGUCUGUCAAGUCGGAUGUGAAAUCCCCGGGCUNCAACCUGGGAACUGCAUUCGAAACUGGCAGGCNUANGAGUNCUUGUAGAGGGGGGUAGAAUUCCAGGUGUAGCGGUGAAAUGCGUAGAGAUCUGGAGGAAUACCGGUGGCGAAGGCGGCCCCCUGGACAAAGACUGANCGCUCAGGUGCNGAAAGCGUGGGGAGCAAACAGGAUUAGAUACCCUGGUAGUCCACGCCGUAAACGAUGUCGAUUUGGAGGUUGUGCCCUUGAGGCGUGGCUUCCGGAGCUAACGCGUUAAAUCGACCGCCUGGGGAGUACGGCCGCAAGGUUAAAACUCAAAUGAAUUGACGGGGGCCCGCACAAGCGGUGGAGCAUGUGGUUUAAUUCGAUGCAACGCGAAGAACCUUACCUGGUCUUGACAUCCACAGAACUUUCCAGAGAUGGAUUNGGUGCCUUCGGGAACUGUGAGACAGGUGCUGCAUGGCUGUCGUCAGCUCGUGUUGUGAAAUGUUGGGUUAAGUCCCGCAACGAGCGCAACCCUUAUCCUUUGUUGCCAGCGGUCCGGCCNGGGAACUCAAAGGAGACUGCCAGUGAUAAACUGGAGGAAGGUGGGGAUGACGUCNAAGUCAUCAUGGCCCUUACGACCAGGGCUACACACGUGCUACAAUGGCAUAUACAAAGAGAAGCGACCUCGNCGAGAGCAAGCGGACCUCAUAAAGUAUGUCGUAGUCCGGAUUGGAGUCUGCAACUCGACUCCAUGAAGUCGGAAUCGCUAGUAAUCGUAGAUCAGAAUGCUACGGUGAAUNACGUUCCCGGGCCUUGUACACACCGCCCGUCACACCAUGGGAGUG
rnacentral:rRNA from 1 species